rnacentral:rRNA from 1 species
UACGUAGGGGGCAAGCGUUGUCCGGAAUCAUUGGGCGUAAAGAGCGCGUAGGCGGCCCUGUAAGUCCGCUGUGAAAGUCAAGGGCUCAACCCUUGGAUGCCGGUGGAUACUGCAGGGCUAGAGUCCGGAAGAGGCGAGUGGAAUUCCUGGUGUAGCGGUGAAAUGCGCAGAUAUCAGGAGGAACACCCGUGGCGAAGGCGGCUCUCUGGGACGGUACUGACGCUGAGACGCGAAAGCGUGGGGAGCGAACAGG